CCUACGGGGUGCAGCAGUGGGGAAUAUUGGACAAUGGGGGGAACCCUGAUCCAGCGACGCCGCGUGAGUGAAGAAGUAUUUCGGUAUGUAAAGCUCUAUCAGCAGGGAAGAAAGAAAUGACGGUACCUGACUAAGAAGCCCCGGCUAACUACGUGCCAGCAGCCGCGGUAAUACGUAGGGGGCAAGCGUUAUCCGGAUUUACUGGGUGUAAAGGGAGCGUAGACGGUUACGCAAGUCUGGAGUGAAAGGCGGGGGCCCAACCCCCGGACUGCUUUGGAAACUGUAUAACUGGAGUGCAGGAGAGGUAAGUGGAAUUCCUAGUGUAGCGGUGAAAUGCGUAGAUAUUAGGAGGAACACCGGCGGCGAAGGCGGCCUGCUGGACCGCGACUGACGUUGAGGCUCGAAAGCGUGGGGAGCGAACAGGAUUAGAUACCCUUGUAGUC
rnacentral:rRNA from 1 species